UACGGGGGGAGCAAGCGUUGUUCGGAUUUACUGGGCGUAAAGGGCGCGUAGGCGGCGUGACAAGUCACUUGUGAAAUCUCCGGGCUUAACCCGGAGCGGCCAAGUGAUACUGUCGUGCUAGAGUGCGGAAGGGGCUACUGGAAUUCUCGGUGUAGCGGUGAAAUGCGCAGAUAUCAGGAAGAACACCAAUGGCGAAGGCAGCUUGUUGGGACGGUACUGACGCUGAGACGCGAAAGCGUGGGGAGCGAACAGG
rnacentral:rRNA from 1 species